rnacentral:tRNA from 1 species
ACCUGGGUGGCUCAGUCGGUUGAGCGUCCGACUUCGGCUCAGGUCAUGAUCUCACAGUUCGUGGGUUCGAGCCCCGCAUCGGGCU